GCACAAGCGGUGGAUGAUGUGGUUUAAUUCGAUGCAACGCGAAAACCUUACCCACCUUUGACAUGGCAGGAAUCCUGAAGAGAUUUGGGAGUGCUCGAAAGAGAACCUGCACACAGGUGCUGCAUGGCUGUCGUCAGCUCGUGUCGUGAGAUGUUGGGUUAAGUCCCGCAACGAGCGCAACCCUUGCCAUUAGUUGCUACGAAAGGGCACUCUAAUGGGACUGCCGGUGACAAACCGGAGGAAGGUGGGGAUGACGUCAAGUCCUCAUGGCCCUUAUAGGUGGGGCUACACACGUCAUACAAUGGCCGGUACAGAGGGUAGCCAACCCGCGAGGGGGAGCCAAUCCCACAAAGCCGGUCGUAGUCCGGAUCGCAGUCUGCAACUCGACUGCGUGAAGUCGGAAUCGCUAGUAAUCGCGGAUCAGCAUGUCGCGGUGAAUACGUUCCCGGGUCUU
rnacentral:rRNA from 1 species